GGCGAACGGGUGAGUAACACGUGAGUAACCUGCCCUUGACUUUGGGAUAACUUCAGGAAACUGGGGCUAAUACCGGAUAGGAGCUCCUGCUGCAUGGUGGGGGUUGGGAAAGUUUCGGCGGUUGGGGAUGGACUCGCGGCUUAUCAGCUUGUUGGUGGGGUAGUGGCUUACCAAGGCUUUGACGGGUAGCCGGCCUGAGAGGGUGGCCGGCCACAUUGGGACUGAGAUACGGCCCAG
rnacentral:rRNA from 1 species